GCACGUUUUUACCUAAACUUCGGUUUUCGUUGCACGGUGCCUUAAAAAGGGAAUAUUCCGGGCAUUUUUGCCGGAAUCCCACACAUGUGCAUUUCACGUGAUUUUUCUAAGGGUAAAACCGUCUCAUCACUUAAAAACUAACCUAGGGCUGUAUUUCCCCCCUUUUCCUCUCCCGUUUGUCCAAUUUUCCCUCCAAAAUUAAGAGCUUCUCCUUCUUCUUUAUACCUGCUGUGCUCCAAAUCUUAUAGCCCUCUUCCCAUCCGUUUUUUUGUCUUCUCUCACAGACGAAAAUCACUUAGAAAUUAUUGUCUUUUUUUUUUUUCCUGUCGUCUCUCACAAACGAAAGCAAUCUGUGAGAGAAUGGAAGCAACGUGUUAUUGUUCGAGAAGGGUAGUCACAAGAACUUCCUGGACUGAUUUAAAUCCAGGAAGGAGAUUUUCGACAUGUGAUAACUACAAGAAAAUUCGAGGCUGUAACUACUUUGUGUGGAUUGAUCCCCCGAUGUGUGACAGAUCUCGUCAAAUUAUUCUUGGGCUGCUUCGGAAAAUUAACAUGCGUGAAGAGGAGUUGAUGAAGAAGAGUUCAAGGGAAAAGUGCCUGUGGAUUGCAGUGAUAAUCUCAUGGUUGUUUGUGUAUCUCCUUAUAUAAUAUGUCUGUGUUCUUGAAAUUAAAAUAUUUAUUUCUGUAUCUUGAAAAUCUGUGUUCUUGAGAUUAAGAUAUUUUGGAGUUUUUGAUUUUUUAUGUAGUGAGUUGUGUUCUAUUGUUCUUGUGUCUCUGUUUUUCAAAAAACAGAUUGUGUAGUGUAAUUUCAUCUUUAUGUAAUGAAAUCAAUGGCUAUUGUGAUGUGGUUUAUU